rnacentral:rRNA from 1 species
UACGUAGGGUGCGAGCGUUAAUCGGAAUUAUUGGGCGUAAAGGGCGCGUAGGCGGUGCGGUAAGUCACCUGUGACACCUCUAGGCUCAACCUAGAGCCUGCAGGCGAAACUGCCGUGCUUGAGGGUGGGAGAGGUGCGUGGAAUUCCCGGUGUAGCGGUGAAAUGCGUAGAUAGCGGGAGGAACACCUGUGGCGAAAGCGGCGCACGGGACCACAUCUGACGCUGAGGCGCGAAAGCUAGGGGAGCAAACAGG